rnacentral:rRNA from 1 species
GAUGAACGCUGGCGGCGUGCCUAAUACAUGCAAGUCGAGCGAACGGACGAGAAGCUUGCUUCUCUGAUGUUAGCGGCGGACGGGUGAGUAACACGUGGAUAACCUACCUAUAAGACUGGGAUAACUUCGGGAAACCGUAGCUAAUACCGGAUAAUAUUUUGAACCGCAUGGUUCAAAAGUGAAAGACGGUCUUGCUGUCACUUAUAGAUGGAUCCGCGCUGCAUUAGCUAGUUGGUAAGGUAACGGCUUACCAAGGCAACGAUGCAUAGCCGACCUGAGAGGGUGAUCGGCCACACUGGAACUGAGACACGGUCCAGACUCAUACGGGAGGCAGCAGUAGGGAAUCUUCAGCAAUGGGCGAAAGCCUGACGGAGCAACGCCGCGUGAGUGAUGAAGGUCUUCGGAUCGUAAAACUCUGUUAUUAGGGAAGAACAUAUGUGUAAGUAACUGUGCACAUCUUGACGGUACCUAAUCAGAAAGCCACGGCUAACUACGUG